rnacentral:rRNA from 1 species
UGCCAGCCGCCGCGGUAAUACGAAGGGGGCAAGCGUUGUUCGGAUUUACUGGGCGUAAAGGGCGCGCAGGCGGACCAAUAAGUCGACUGUGAAAUCUGUGGGCUCAACCUACAGCCUGCAGUCGAAACUAUUGGUCUUGAGUACGGAAGAGGAGAGCGGAAUCUCAGGUGUAGCGGUGAAAUGCGUAGAUAUCUGGGAGAACACCGGUGGCGAAGGCGGCUCUCUGGUCUGAUACUGACGCUGAGGCGCGAAAGCUAGGGAAGCGAACGGGAUUAGAUA